UGUCAUUUGUAUCAGACAAGCACACUUGAAUGCACACUUACUUUUGUUGAGCAAGAAAAGUUCAGACUUUCUACCGUUACAUUUUGGAGGACCAGAGAGGUGACAAGAUAAGAGUAUAUGAGAAUGAGGCUCAUUGGAUGGAUCAAUGAAAAGGUGAAGGAGAGGAAUGAGAGGAAAAUUGAGAGGACCCUCAAGAGAGAGGAGGAGGAAGGUGAAGAACCUUAUUUUCAACCUUUCAGAGGAUUCACGACCCGGGCCACUAGAGAGCAGGAGAAGCGUAAGAGCCUGCUGAACGCAGAGGCAACAAGACAGCAUCUGGAGUCAUCCUGGCUUGAGUGGAAUAAAGAAAAGAAGGAGAAAAAGAUGAAGAGGAAAGAGGACAGCAAACACGCCAAAAGCCAAGCACAGUUGGCCCGCAUUCUCAAAUCAAAUGAAAAAGCUGACAGGAACCUCAAUGCGUUUAAUGGCACUAAGAUGUACUCUACCAAGAACAAACUGUUGAGGAAACAGAUGAUUGGAUGGGAUAGGAACGGAAAAUAA